GUAACUCCAAUUAGUAUGGAGUUGGAACAUCUGUUUACAUUUGUUGUUGCUAGGGGCGCUGUUCCAACUGCAUACAAAUUUGAGUUA
rfam:Bombyx mori DNA, contig: Bm_scaf35_contig21239, strain: p50T/Dazao, build 2, whole genome shotgun sequence.